AUGCCUCCUCAGACGGCCAAACGCCAACCAGACUGGCCAAGAAAGCACCUUGGUGGCAACGGCUUUUCAAAUGCUGCAAGAGAAAAAAUCUGGUCGCUCCGGCUCCCGACCCUGAAGGACAGAAUAAACCUCAAGGAAGCAGCAGCAUCGUCAAAGAGGAAAUAAAAGAAGACCACGAGCAGGGAUGCAGAAAGAGGUGGUGCCAGAUCUGGAGAGGUGCUUUCUGACUAUCGACGACCUGAUACCGUCUGACAUCACCCUCCACGCCACCAUAGAGAAAAUCAUCAAGGACUUCUUUAACACAAAAAGAAGAAACCUGAGGAGAAGAAACCACCAACCCCAUCACAGAGCAAGAAAACAGAACUUGAUGACGUGCUACCUUAACUCCAGCCUGCAGAGUCUCCUGUUCCUGAAAGAUCUCUUUGCUGGCAUCAGAUCUAUGGAGCCGGUCCAGUCCCUGGAGCUCAGCUGCUGAGCUAUAGUCGACUCAUCUGUUUGCGAAGAAAGGAAGAAGUACGUCCUUUUUUAUAAGAGACGUCUAGAACUGGAUGAAUACUGGAGACUGGAAGAGCAUCAGGAUCUCUCUGAUCACGUAGGAACAACCACAGGGACAAGGUUAAGUAUGUACUUAACCUCCUGUCUUGUCAGAUCCAGGAGAAGCACGCGUUCACAGCCUCUAAAGAUAAACGUCGUCUCCUGCGCUCGUUUAAGGACACAGUGUCGGGCCAGGCUCUGGAGUUUAGGGAUGAUGAACAGAAGGAUGCUCAUGAGUUCCUGACAUCCGUCCUGGACCAGAUUCAGGGUCUGUGUCCUCUCUUGAAGGAGGCGGCAGCAGGCUCAGGGACAACAUACACCUGCCCUGUGGAGGAGAACCUGGUGUUCUGGAUAGAGAACACCAGUACAUGCCAGACUACAGACUUUAGGGGCAAGGACCUGAAGGCACCAGGAUCCCCCCAAAAAAGUGCCUUUAUUCCUGGCAUCAUCUUGUCCAGAGGAGCAGCAACAGGGACAGAGAGUGUCCACCUGCUCCUUCCAGCCUCUGCCAUCAUCCACAGCCUCCUCCACCUGAAGCCACAGUCUCCACCUACAGCCUCUUUAAACGUUAAUAAACCACAGCAG